GGGUGCGGACAUACCAGCACUAAUGCACCGGAUCCCAUCUGAACUCCGAAGCUAAGUAUGCUUGGGCAAGAGCAAUACUAGGAUUGGUGACUUACUUGGAAGUCCUCAUGUCGUAUCUC
rnacentral:rRNA from 1 species